UGAAUACGAGAUGCUACGGCGUCGAAGCAGUCUAUGUCAUACUUCCAAGAAAAGCUUGCACUGUCAUAAACAAAUAAUGCCUGUACCAUAACCGACACAGGUGGGUAGGUAGAGUAUACUAAGGGGCGCGAGAUAACUCUCUCUAAGGAACUCGGCAAAAUGACUCCGUAACUUCGGGAGAAGGAGUGCCUUAUUUAUAAGGUUGCAAUAACAAGAUCCAAGCAACUGUUUACCAAAAACACAGGUCUCCGCUAAGUCGUAAGACGAUGUAUGGGGGCUGACGCCUGCCCAGUGCCAGAAGGUUAAAGAAGUUGGUUAGCAUCCGCGAAGCUGAUAACUGAAGCCCUGGUGAACGGCGGCCGUAACUAUAACGGUCCUAAGGUAGCGAAAUUCCUUGUCGGGUAAGUUCCGACCCGCACGAAAGGCGUAAUGAUUUGGAUACUGUCUCGGAGAGGGGCUCGGUGAAAUAGACUUGUCUGUGAAGAUGCGGACUACCUGCACCAGGACAGAAAGACCCUAUGAAGCUUUACUGUAACCUGAAAUUGAAAUUGGACUUUACUUGCGCAGUAUAGGUGGGAGGCGUUGAGAAUAUUCUUGCGGGAUUAUUGGAGCCAUCAGUGAGAUACCACUCUUGUAAUGUUAGAUUUCUAACUUUGUAUCAUUAUCUGGUCAAAGAACAGUUUCAGGCGGGCAGUUUGACUGGGGCGGUCGCCUCCUAAACGGUAACGGAGGCGCACAAAGGUUUCCUCUGAACGGGUAGAAAUCGUAUCUAGAGUGUAAAGGCAUAAGGAAGCUUGACUGUGAGACCUACAAGUCGAGCAGGGACGAAAGUCGGUCUUAGUGAUCUGACGGUGCUGAGUGGAAAGGCCGUCACUCAACGGAUAAAAGUUACUCUAAGGAUAACAGGCUGAUCUCCCCCAAGAGUUCACAUCGACGGGGAGGUUUGGCACCUCGAUGUCGGCUCAUCGCAUCCUGGGGCGGUAGUACGUCCCAAGGGUUGGGCUGUUCGCCCAUGAAAGCGGUACGCGAGCUGGGUUCAGAACGUCGUGAGACAGUUCGGUCCAUAUCCGGUGUAGGCGUUAGAAUAUUGAGAGGAGCCUUCUUUAGUACGAGAGGACCGAGAAGGACAUACCUCUGGUGUACCAGUUAUCGUGCCAACGGUAAACGCUGGGUAGCUAUGUGUGGAGUGGAUAACCGCUGAAAGCAUCUAAGUGGGAAGCCCACCUCAAGAUAAGUAUUCUCGU
rnacentral:rRNA from 1 species